UACGAAGGGGGCUAGCGUUGCUCGGAAUUACUGGGCGUAAAGCGCACGUAGGCGGGUCUUUAAGUCGGGGGUGAAAUCCUGGAGCUCAACUCCAGAACUGCCUUCGAAACUGAAGAUCUUGAGUUCGGGAGAGAUGAGUGGAACUGCGAGUGUAGAGGUGAAAUUCGUAGAUAUUCGCAAGAACACCAGUGGCGAAGGCGGCUCACUGGCCCGAUACUGACGCUGAGGCACGAAAGCGUGGGGAGCGAACAGG
rnacentral:misc_RNA from 1 species